rnacentral:rRNA from 1 species
AAUGAACGUUGGCGGCGUGGAUUAGGCAUGCAAGUCGUACGCACAGCUUCGGCUGUGAGUGGCGCAAGGGUGAGUAAUGCGAAGGUAACCAACCCUGGAGUUGGGCAUAACCGCGGGAAACUGCGGGUAAUUCCCAGCGAUGUCUCGAGAUGGCAUCAUCUUGCGACCAAAGGUGUGAUUCCGCUCUAGGACGGGCCUUCGUGGUAUUAGGUAGUUGGUGAGGUAACGGCUCACCAAGCCGACGAUGCCUACCGGGUGUGAGAGCAUGACCCGGCACACUGGAACUGAGACACUGUCCAGACACCUACGGGUGGCUGCAGUCGAGAAUCUUCGGCAAUGGGCGAAAGCCUGACCGAGCGACGCCGCGUGAGGGAAGAAGG